rnacentral:snRNA from 1 species
GUGCUCCCUUUGGCAGCACAUACACUAAAAUUGGAAUGAUACAGAGAUCAGCAUGGCCCCUGCAUAAGGAUGACAUGCAAAUUUGUGAAGUAUUCCAUAUUUUA